rnacentral:snRNA from 1 species
AACUUACCUGGACGGGAUCAACAGGCGAACAAGAAGGCCUGUGGUCUAGGUCAGUGGCCCGCAUUGCACAUGGCGGGUGCGCUGGCCUACCAUCUCCCCAAGUGGGAGAGUGGACGUCAUAAUUUGUGGUAGAGGGGGUACGCGUCCGCGCGGCCCCUGCCUU